GUGAUCCCGGGAACACUGCUAAACCUCUCUGAACGAUACAGAGAAGAUUAGCAUGGCCCCUGUGCAAGGAAUAAUAAUAAUAAUUGUACAUUAAAUAUAUAUUU
rfam:Tupaia chinensis contig86930, whole genome shotgun sequence.